rnacentral:rRNA from 1 species
UAAAUACUCCUGACUGACCGAUAGUGAACCAGUACCGUGAGGGAAAGGCGAAAAGAACCCCUGUGAGGGGAGUGAAAUAGAUCCUGAAACCGCAUGCAUACAAGCAGUGGGAGCACCUUCGUGGUGUGACUGCGUACCUUUUGUAUAAUGGGUCAGCGACUUAUAUUCAGUAGCGAGGUUAACCGUAUAGGGGAGCCGUAGAGAAAUCGAGUCUUAAUAGGGCGUUUAGUUGCUGGGUAUAGACCCGAAACCAGGCGAUCUAUCCAUGAGCAGGUUGAAGGUUGGGUAACACUAACUGGAGGACCGAACCCACUGUCGUUGAAAAGCCAGGGGAUGACUUGUGGAUAGGGGUGAAAGGCUAAUCAAGCCUGGUGAUAGCUGGUUCUCCCCGAAAGCUAUUUAGGUAGCGCCUCGGACGAAUACCAUAGGGGGUAGAGCACUGUUUCGGCUAGGGGGUCAUCCCGACUUACCAAACCGAUGCAAACUCCGAAUACCUAUGAGUACUAUCCGGGAGACAGACUGCGGGUGCUAACGUCCGUAGUCAAGAGGAAAACAAUCCAGACCGCCAGCUAAGGCCCCAAAAUCAUAGUUAAGUGGGAAACGAUGUGGGAAGGCAUAGACAGCUAGGAGGUUGGCUUAGAAGCAGCCACCCUUUAAAGAAAGCGUAAUAGCUCACUAGUCGAGUCGGCCUGCGCGGAAGAUGUAACGGGGCUAAAACUAUGUGCCGAAGCUGCGGAUGUAUACUUUGUAUACGUGGUAGGGGAGCGUUCUGUAAGCCGAUGAAGGUGUGUUGAGAAGCAUGCUGGAGGUAUCAGAAGUGCGAAUGCUGACGUGAGUAACGACAAAACGGGUGAAAAACCCGUUCGCCGAAAGACCAAGGGUUCCAGUCCAACGUUAAUCGGGGCUGGGUGAGUCGACCCCUAAGGCGAGGCCGAAAGGCGUAGUCGAUGGGAAAAUGGUUAAUAUUCCAUUACUUCUGUGUAAUGCGAUGAGAGGACGGAGAAGGCUAAAUCAGCCUGGCGUUGGUUGUCCAGGUGAAAGGAUGUAGGCAUGUAUCUUAGGCAAAUCCGGGGUACUCUAUGCUGAGAUCUGAUAGCAAGCUGUACUUGUACAGCGAAGUGGUUGAUGCCAUGCUUCCAGGAAAAGUCUCUAAGCUUCAGUUACACAGGAAUCGUACCCGAAACCGACACAGGUGGUCAGGUCGAGUAGACCAAGGCGCUUGAGAGAACUCUGCUGAAGGAACUAGGCAAAAUGGUACCGUAACUUCGGGAGAAGGUACGCUGUUGUUGGUGAUGGAACUCGCUUCCUGAGCUGACGACAGCCGCAGAAACCAGGCCGCUGCAACUGUUUAUUAAAAACAUAGCACUCUGCAAACACGAAAGUGGACGUAUAGGGUGUGAUGCCUGCCCGGUGCUGGAAGGUUAAUUGAUGGGGUUAGCGUAAGCGAAGCUCUUGAUCGAAGCCCCAGUAAACGGCGGCCGUAACUAUAACGGUCCUAAGGUAGCGAAAUUCCUUGUCGGGUAAGUUCCGACCUGCACGAAUGGCAUAAUGAUGGCGGCGCUGUCUCCAGCAGAGGCUCAGUGAAAUCGAAAUCGCUGUGAAGAUGCAGUGUACCCGCGGCUAGACGGAAAGACCCCGUGAACCUUUACUGCAGCUUGACACUGAACUUUGACCUUACUUGUGUAGGAUAGGUGGGAGGCUUUGAAGCUGGAACGCUAGUUCCAGUGGAGCCGUCCUUGAAAUACCACCCUGGUAAUGUUGAGGUUCUAACUCUGUCCCGUGAUCCGGGACGAGGACCGUGUCUGGUGGGUAGUUUGACUGGGGCGGUCUCCUCCUAAAGAGUAACGGAGGAGUACGAAGGUGCGCUCAGCGUGGUCGGAAAUCACGCGUAGAGUAUAAAGGCAAAAGCGCGCUUAACUGCGAGACCCACAAGUCGAGCAGGUACGAAAGUAGGUCUUAGUGAUCCGGUGGUUCUGUAUGGAAGGGCCAUCGCUCAACGGAUAAAAGGUACUCUGGGGAUAACAGGCUGAUACCGCCCAAGAGUUCAUAUCGACGGCGGUGUUUGGCACCUCGAUGUCGGCUCAUCUCAUCCUGGGGCUGAAGCAGGUCCCAAGGGUAUGGCUGUUCGCCAUUUAAAGAGGUACGCGAGCUGGGUUUAGAACGUCGUGAGACAGUUCGGUCCCUAUCUACCGUGGGCGCUGGAAAUUUGAGAGGAUCUGCUCCUAGUACGAGAGGACCAGAGUGGACGAACCUCUGGUGUACCGGUUGUGACGCCAGUCGCAUCGCCGGGUAGCUAUGUUCGGAAGGGAUAACCGCUGAAAGCAUCUAAGCGGGAAGCCUACCUCAAGAUAAGAUUUCCCUAGGACUUUAUGUCCUCUAAAGAGCCGUUCGAGACUAGGACGUUGAUAGGUUGGAUGUGGAAGCAUAGUGAUAUGUGAAGCUGACCAAUACUAAUUGCUCGUGAGGCUUGACUAU